GCUUUGUCAUUUGUUCUUCCGCCAGCGCCCAUCGUGAAGACCACAGUUUCCUGUCGCGUGGAUGUGUUUCCUCUCUGGCCAUUGCCAUCCGCCCAAAUCUACAGACAUCCCGCAUGUUCCCGGGCUCGUCUCCCCAAUACAGGGCACCAAGCAUCCUACCAAGGCGAAUCCAUUGACCAGGAUUUAAGCUGUAGACUGCGCAGCCCUCCUGGAGACAGAUGGAAGCUCCUUGGGUCGACAGAUUACAGCUUCUGGAACCCCCUACUCCCUUCAACUCCGAGAUGGACACCCACUGUCCAGGGAGAGGAUGCCUGGAAAUAACAGCUGGGAUCUACAGUGGCCAAAGAGUUGUCUCCGUCUUGCUACAUCGACAAACUGGUGCUCCUGAGUGAGGAUUGUGCCCUGGGAUGGGGGAUUCAGUUUCUUCAUUUAUAGUUGGAAGUGGGUGAAGUGCCAGGAGCGACGGUACACUCCAGAGUGCUGUGCCCUGAUGGGCCUUUGAGUGGCCAGUGCAGUGGAUCAUCAGCCCUGUCUCCCAAGAGCUCCAGUCCCUUCUCCGGAGAGGAAGUGGGUCCACUGGCAGCUCAGGAGGCCAUAGCAGAUUGUGGGGCUCUGUGCAGUUGAUGUUAGUUAACCACUGGAUCCACGUGUUCACCGUGGCUUGCGCCCCUGCAUCCGAAAGUGAUCUUGGCUGCCGUGUCCUGGUCAUUGGUAGUGCAGGGAAAGGAUGCGGAAAGACGGGCUCCGAGCUCGGGGCGUCUGGCCUGGAGCUUUCCUACACUUGUGUCUUGCUCUGCAGCCUUACGGAAGUGUGGGUGGCGCUUUCUGGAAGCUGCACAAGAUUGUCACGUGUGCUCAACAGUCCUCCUCGGCUUUCCAGAAGAGGCUGGAACAGGGCCCUUGAAGAUGUUUGUGGACAUCAGAGGGCCAAAGACGACACAAAGUGAAACUGGAGACACCGCCCCCCCUUGGCAUCAUGAAACUGCCGAUGUUACUGGCUCAUGCAUGGGAGACACCAGCAUACAAAGUCUUGACACCAACACCUCAGAGGGCUGUGUUCUGUCCCCGUGACCAUCAUCUAGUGCCUGGAAAGACUAGUGACAAGAACUUGUUGCCAACUUCCUAUUACCUCCCUAACAGUUGUGCAAUAAACCCCAUAGGUUAA
rnacentral:lncRNA from 1 species